GGGGUUGUGGCUGAGUGGUAGAGCACUCACUUCACAUGUGUGAAGCCCUGGGUUCAAUCCUCAGCACCA
rnacentral:tRNA from 1 species